AUGGGUGACUAGUGGCAGAGUGAGGGAGGGAAGGGGUGACUAGUGACAGAGUGAGGGGAUGACUGGUGACAGAGUGAGGGGGGGGGGGACUGUCACUAGUCACCCCAUCCCUCUCUCUGUCACUAGUUACUCCCUCCCUAACUCUGUCACUGUGUCACCCGCUCCCUCCCUCUGUCACUAGUCACCCCCUCCCUCACUCUGUCACUAGUCACCCCCUCUCUCCUCUCACCCCCUUCCUCACUCUGUUACUAGUCACCCCAU